GUGAGAAGAAUAAAACCAGAGAGCUAAGUGAAAGGACUACGUGCAAGAAACACAUAUUUUUCAAUGGCUCUGAGUAUAUUUGGGCUGGAGAGCAGAAGAUGAUGUAAGCUUCAGGAAGAAGCAACUCAGUUGUCACAUCAGAUGAUGAAAUUAAGUUUUUUAUUCCCUGCCUAAAUCUUCCAUCUGGUAGCAAUAGCUCUACAGUGCUGGCAUUUAUCAAGAGAAGACACACAGCACAGCCUUGCAUAAAUAAUGGCACUGGGCCAAGUACAGCUGAGGUGGUUGCCAGCACAACUCCAUUGAAGUCAAAGGAAUUGCACCGGGGGUGUUUCCUUCUGUCCCAUGUUGCCCUUUCCCUUUGAGAGUACAAAGGCAUGUCAAAGAAGAAGGAGCACGUAAUGAGUCAUGCUCCAUCGCAGAGAAGUAAAGAAGGCCACUGUUCUUGCGUGUCUUAUACACGUUUUCUUUGACAAGUUAUCAGAUUUUCUUGAAGUCAUUACUUGUUCCUUGCAAUGGAGAUGUCUACUGGCUGCUAAAUGAGGUUUUGAAUGACAGUCAACAUCUCUGCAUCCAAAAGCAACGGAUGUUGUUUCACCUCCCUUUGAUAUUCCCUGUGAAAUUCAGUUGUUCUCAGGUCAAGAACAGGACUCUCCAAAUUUCAGAGAAGAACCCGCGUUUACUGGAAUCCUUGGCACGAGUUCACUAGGAAAGGAACUUCCUGGGUAGAACAUUUGAUUGUGCCCUUGUAGCGAACAACUAAUUAAAACCCUGAAGAUAACGUGCAGUGGUCUCUGACAGCCAGCUGACAAACAGACCGAUUUCCCUGCCUCUGAAUACCAGAGGACAGGUUUGGAUCUUGCCUAGAGCCAAGGGACGCUGCGUGCUGCCAAAGCACCUGCAGCAGUGGCAAAGGUGGGUUUCCACAUGUGCGCGGUACCACCCCGUGCCAGGGGCUGACGUCCCCCCCACGGGGUCUGUGGCCAAGGCUUGGCGGCUCGGCACCGAAGACCUGGAGGGAGAUGAGGAGCAGGGCUCUGCGCUUGGGUGGCUGAGGAGUGCUCUUGGGUUUUCUUAGGCCAGUUUUGGUGAUGGAGGAACAGUAACAUCUUAAAACAGCAGAGUUAUUGAGGGGACGGGGGGCAGUGAAGAUCUGUUCGUGGUUUGGCCCGUCAGCAUCAGGAGAGUGAAAAGAGGGAACAGUACAGGAAAAAGUACAUGGCCCAAGCCUUUUGUGGCU